rnacentral:misc_RNA from 1 species
GAUGAAGAACGCAGCGAAAUGCGAUAAGUAAUGUGAAUUGCAGAAUUCAGUGAAUCAUCGAAUCUUUGAACGCACAUUGCGCCCGCCAGUAUUCUGGCGGGCAUGCCUGUCUGAGCGUCAUUUCAACCCUCAUGCCCCUAGGGCGUGGUGUUGGGGAUCGGCCAAAGCCCGCGAGGGACGGCCGGCCCCUAAAUCUAGUGGCGGACCCGUCGUGGCCUCCUCUGCGAAGUAGUGAUAUUCCGCAUCGGAGAGCGAUGAGCCCCUGCCGUUAAACCCCCAACUUUCCAAGGUUGACCUCAGAUCAGGUAGGAAUACCCGCUGAACUUAAGCAUAUCAAUAAGGA